CCAGCAAGAAAUAAAAAUCGCCAAAAUGAAGAGGUCAACCCAACCCCCGCAUCUCAGGACCCACCUGCUUCACCCCAAAAUUCACCUACUUCCACCUCAUCCAGCUUCUCUCCUACCCCUGCCUUCUUGGAUUUAACUGCCCAGAUGAACGAGCUGGUUCUGGCUGGCACAAGACUAACACCCCACCCUUUACCCCACCAUGGUCAAUCUGCACCACCCAUCCCUCCUCGACGAUACCAGGCUCAGGAUCACUCUUCUCCUCAGGCCAGCUGUGUUCAACUUAGAGCGACACAGGCCUGAUGUGUGCUGGGUCCGGACUGCAAUAGCUCUAUUUUUAGGAACAACCAGAAAAAGUCAGGGCCCUAUGGAGUUAAUGCAGCUUCUUUAAUUCCUGUGGUGACAGGUAACACAGGUAAAAUUGUGAAAUUAAAGAAAAGCAAAAAGCUUUAUAGAGAUAAAAAUUUGACUCCUAUAACAUGUCAUCCAAAAAGUCCACCAGUGUCUCCAGUAAAGUCUUUAAAAUUAGCUCUUCUUAAUGUUAGAUCUCUUGUUAACAAGUCACUAAUAAUUAAUGAUUUUAUUUUGACACAUCACUUGGACUUUUUAUUUCUUAAUGAAACAUGGUUGAAUGAUGGUAUCAGUAAUACUAUUCUCAAUGAAAGUGCACCACAAGACUUUAUUUAUUUAAAUAAGUGUCGUACUUGCAGGAAAGGUGGUGGAGUUGCUGCCAUUUUUAAAUCAAUAUUUCAGUGCAAAGAAAUAACAUUUGGUGAUUUUAUCUCCUUUGAAUAUAUGUCAUUCUUACUGAAGGGUGAUUCAAGAGUUCUGUUUUUAGUCGUUUAUAGACCCCCAAAAUAUUCUGGAGAAUUCAUGGAUGAGUUUGCUGAACUGCUGUCAGUUGUAUGCACUGAAUACAACUUUUUAAUAAUAACAGGUGACUUAAAUAUUCAUGUAGACAAUAACAUGGACAAUACUGCCAAAGAACUGUAUGCUUUAAUGGAUACUUUUGGUCUUACACAACAUGUGACUGGUCCGACACACACUCAAGGUCACACUUUGGAUCUGGUUAUCUCUAAAGGUGUUGAUAUCUCUGCUGUUGAUG
rnacentral:lncRNA from 1 species